rnacentral:rRNA from 1 species
AGGACGAACGCUGGCGGCGUGCUUAACACAUGCAAGUCGAACGGAAAGGCCCGCUUGCGGGUACUCGAGUGGCGAACGGGUGAGUAACACGUGGGCAACCUGCCCUCAGCUCUGGGAUAACUCCGGGAAACCGGUGCUAAUACUGGAUAUCGACUUCUGCUCGCAUGGGUGGUUGUUGAAAGUUUUUCGGCUGGGGAUGGGCCCGCGGCCUAUCAGCUUGUUGGUGGGGUGAUGGCCUACCAAGGCGACGACGGGUAGCCGGCCUGAGAGGGCGACCGGCCACACUGGGACUGAGACACGGCCCAGACUCCUACGGGAGGCAGCAGUGGGGAAUAUUGCGCAAUGGCCGAAAGGCUGACGCAGCGACGCCGCGUGGGGGAGGAAGGCCUUCGGGUUGUAAACCCCUGUUGCCCGGGACGAAUGCGUACCAUAGGGUGCGUUGACGGUACCGGGUGAGGAAGCACCGGCUAACUCCGCGCCAGCAGCCGCGGUAA